rnacentral:rRNA from 1 species
AGAGUUUGAUCCUGGCUCAGGACGAACGCUGGCGGCACGCUUAACACAUGCAAGUCGAACGAGAGAAGAGGAGCUUGCUUUUCUGAUCUAGUGGCGGACGGGUGAGUAACACGUGAGCAAUCUGCCUUUCAGAGGGGGAUACCGAUUGGAAACGAUCGUUAAUACCGCAUAACAUAAUUGAACCGCAUGAUUUGAUUAUCAAAGAUUUAUCGCUGAAAGAUGAGCUCGCGUCUGAUUAGCUAGUUGGUAAGGUAACGGCUUACCAAGGCGACGAUCAGUAGCCGGACUGAGAGGUUGAUCGGCACAUUGGGACUGAGACACGGCCCAGACUCCUACGGGAGGCAGCAGUGGGGAAUAUUGCACAAUGGAGGAAACUCUGAUGCAGCGAUGCCGCGUGAGGGAAGAAGGUUUUAGGAUUGUAAACCUCUGUCUUCAGGGACGAAAAAAGACGGUACCUGAGGAGGAAGCUCCGGCUAACUACGUGCCAGCAGCCGCGGUAAUACGUAGGGAGCGAGCGUUGUCCGGAAUUACUGGGUGUAAAGGGAGCGUAGGCGGGAUCGCAAGUCAGAUGUGAAAACUAUGGGCUUAACCCAUAAACUGCAUUUGAAACUGUGGUUCUUGAGUGAAGUAGAGGUAAGCGGGAUUCCUAGUGUAGCGGUGAAAUGCGUAGAUAUUAGGAGGAACAUCAGUGGCGAAGGCGGCUUACUGGGCUUUAACUGACGCUGAGGCUCGAAAGCGUGGGGAGCAAACAGGAUUAGAUACCCUGGUAGUCCACGCCGUAAACGAUGAUUACUAGGUGUGGGGGGACUGACCCCUUCCGUGCCGCAGCAAACGCAAUAAGUAAUCCACCUGGGGAGUACGACCGCAAGGUUGAAACUCAAAGGAAUUGACGGGGGCCCGCACAAGCAGUGGAGUAUGUGGAUUAAUUCGAAGCAACGCGAAGAACCUUACCAGGUCUUGACAUCGUAUGCAUAGCUCAGAGAUGAGUGAAAUCUCUUCGGAGACAUAUAGACAGGUGGUGCAUGGUUGUCGUCAGCUCGUGUCGUGAGAUGUUGGGUUAAGUCCCGCAACGAGCGCAACCCUUACUGUUAGUUGCUACGCAAGAGCACUCUAGCAGGACUGCCGUUGACAAAACGGAGGAAGGUGGGGAUGACGUCAAAUCAUCAUGCCCCUUAUGACCUGGGCCUCACACGUACUACAAUGGCUGUCGACAGAGGGAAGCAAAGCCGCGAGGUGGAGCGAACCCCUAAAAGCAGUCUUAGUUCGGAUUGUAGGCUGCAACCCGCCUACAUGAAGUCGGAAUUGCUAGUAAUCGCAGAUCAGCAUGCUGCGGUGAAUACGUUCCCGGGCCUUGUACACACCGCCCGUCACGCCAUGGGAGUCGGUAACACCCGAAGCCUGUAGUCUAACCGCAAGGAGGACGCAGUCGAAGGUGGGAUUGAUGACUGGGGUGAAGUCGUAACAAGGUA